rnacentral:rRNA from 1 species
CAUGAAGCCGGAAUCGCUAGUAAUCGCGGAUCAGAAUGCCGCGGUGAAUACGUUCCCGGGUCUUGUACACACCGCCCGUCACACCAUGGGAGUCGGAAAUGCCCGAAGCCGGUGACCCAACCCGAAAGGGAGGGAGCCGUCGAAGGCAGGUCGGAUGACUGGGGUGAAGUCGUAACAAGGUAAC